GGGUUCUUUGAGCGUCAUCGGCUCUACAUCGGUCUUACCUCGGUCAUCUCCUUCCGCAUUCUCUCGGCCCUCAGGGUCCUUCUUCUUGCCAAGCCUUUUCUCUCGCUGUUGCGUCCUUCUCGUUUGUGGUGUCCUGUGUCACGGGUGUUGGUGUGCGUUUGGCCCUGCGCUGCUCUGCCCUGCUGCGUAGCCUGGGUGUAGGGGUAAUAGGGCAUGUCCCGGGGACUUGAAGUUUGCAGUGUAGGGUGUAGUGGGAGCGUAGAGGGUAUUUUUAGGUGGGCACAAGAUGCCUGGAGGUUUUAAGUUAUCCUGCAGUGCUCUGACUUUUGUACUGACUUUCAGAUGCAGAUGGAUUAAAUCUGUGGCAGAGGGCCCCAUCCUGGGUGAGGGUGUUCUCCUCCUCCACUGCCUGAAGAAGAAGGUUGGUUGGUGUUGGUCUUGGCAGGGGAGGUGUGAAUGGUGGCUACAUUGCAGCAUUGUUCUUUGUGUUUAUUUUUAGGUACUAAAGCUGGGUAUUGGCAGUAAAGGUCAAUGAAGCAAGGUGAGCAGUGACUGGUGGAUAGAAGCAGUUUUUAUUGCUCAGGUCUUAAUUUCUGGUGCAGCUCUAAGCAUCCACUGUUGUUUUUUUAUUUUAGUUGGUUCACUUGCUGGAUGUCCCAGCCCUGGAUGCCAGAGGCCAGAUGGGUGUAAGCUUAAGGUACACUUGUGGCAUACCUUAGUUGGACUGGGGAGGUUGCUGUUUCACACUGUUUCAGCAUGCAUUUUUGCUUGAUUUCUUUGCAGGUGCUGCUGCUGCCCUAGGCAUGCCAAGGAACGGAGGAGAGCAGGUGAGGGGGCAUUUAGGCAGGGUCGCUCCUGGGCAAGGGGUUAAGCAUGUACCUUUUCAUUUUGCAGGUAUCCUCCGGGCAGCCUCUGGAGUCGAAUGUAGAUCUAAGAUGAGCCAGGACAGCAGUGUGGAGGAGACCUGGGGAUUAUUCUUCUGGAGGGGAUCGUCACAUUUUCAUUUUCAUGGUCCUAGGUGCCCUGUGGAGGUGCAGAGCUGAUUUUGGAUACGGCAGCACCGAAGCGGACACAGAGAAUGUCUCGAUGUUGACGGUCCUGAUGCGUUCUUUUCAAUCAAGAAUGGAUUUUGUCUACUCAUCUCCUGAAAGAUAAGUGUUGGGGCUGGUGGUCAGGAGCAGAGGAAAAACUUUUUCUGUUCUAGGAGGCAAUUUAAAGUUAGCUGAGACGAGAGGGCUGUAGAGGGAUGGACCAUUUGGAAGUAAAGGGAGAGCAUUUCUCCUCAGCCUCGUUGGAGCCUUCCCUGGCCAGGACAGUUCUGACCCCUCUCCGUGUUCUAGCGAGCUUUGUGGUGUCAGCCAUCUUCAGGAGUGCACAGGGUUAGGGUGCACCAGGGGAUGCCUGGCCCACCCUGGGAUCCGUGUCCUAGGAGGAACCCAAGUUGCAGGUUGUAGGGUUCAGCAGGGGCACUUGACAGUGACACACAGAGGCUGAGGGAGGGCUUGAGAGGGAAAGGACUCAAGGGCUAGAGAGCACAGAGUGAAAAUAAGGGCUACAAGUUAGAAUACAGAUAUAUCAGCCCUCACAGCAGCCCCUCCCAACCCUUGUUGUUCUGAGAGUAGGUGCUGGCAGCAACCCUAAUGCAGGACAAUGCCAGAACUCGUGAGAAGUGCAGGCAGUAACCCUAAGGCUAGGGUGAGGCAGGAAGUGAUAGUGGGGAGCAGCAUCCGACAGGGUUGAGUAUAACCGGGGGUUUCCCGCCCCAGCCCACCCUGCGAUCGUCUGUCUCUCCGCAGCCGGGGAUUGCUGCCUGUCCCCGCUCAAGGCGACGGUCGGCUGGGCUUCGUGGCCAUUGCCACCGCAAAGAGCUCUUCAGCUCUGUCAGCCUCUGCCCUGACUCAGGGCCACGCUUCGGAUAGGAAGGGCAAACUGUGGAUGAUGUGUCUCGCUUGCGGGACAACUCUUGGGACCCUAACGGUAAAGGCGCGUCCUCGGCUGCAAGCGUAGGGUUCUCGAGAAGUAGGGUUCAGCAGGGGCACUUGAUAGUGACACACAGAGCCUGAGGGAGGACUUGAGAGGGAAAGGACUCAAGGGCUAGAGAGCACAGAGUGAAAAUAAGGGCUAUAGCCAGGGAUACAAGUUAGAAUACAGAUAUACCUGCCCUCACAGCAUCCCUCCCAACACCCCUGUUUUUCUGAGAGUAGGUGCCGGCAGCAACCCUAAUGCAGGACAGUGCCAGAACUCCUGAGAGGUGCAGGCAGUAAGCUGAAGGCUAGGCGAGGCAGAAAGCAGCAGUGGGGUUGUGGAUUCCCCUGGGUUUUUUAUUAACAGGAUAUGCCCACCAUGGGAUCUGUGUCCUGCUCUGGUGAGUGGUCACUGCCCCAAAAACGCGAUGAGGACUUUGGCUCUGCAAGUUUGAGCCUCUGAGCGUUGCUAAAUCUAUUAUUCAAUGACCCAGGCAUUCAUAGAAGACAGUGAGUAGCAAAGGGGCAGGUGUUGGUAAUUGUGCUGCCAAGGCCUUGUGUUCACAUUUGGUUUCCUUUAUUGUAGCCGCCUGAGAGACGACAGCCCGGUACCAGUGGGAAAUUCCUCAAGGGCGAGGCGGCCUCGUUUUGCACCCGAUGCCGAUUGGCGUUCCCAGACAUCAAAGAGAUAAGUGGAGGGCUGUGAGCCACAGAGGGGGCUGAAAGCGGGGUGGCCGGUCAGGAGUCAGCAGGAGGGUUUUUUGAGUCAGAUUUGCAGUCUGGGAUGGCCAAGAUGUGGCCCCUUAGGGACCUAAAGGUAAAGUCUCACUUGAUCGAAGUGCUGAACUGUGCAGGGCAGAGCAGUCCCAGGCCAUGUGGAGUCACUUGUCUGUUGUGCACUCUGUGUCUUUUGGGCGUCUCACAUGCAAUGUCUUCUGCCUUAGCUCUUCAAGGAGCCUCUUGGAAACACCAGGCAUCGUUCUUAAUACCUCCCUAUUCCUCAGCUCGGCACCUUUGACACUCGGGACCUCGCACGCACAUCAGAAUCGCAUCUCUCUUCAGAAGCAUCCGGUCCCAGGUCUUUUCAGGUCUUGUUCUGAGCUGUACUGGCAGCUGUGCACAGCAGUGAUCCCUUAUGGCGGAUUAGGCCUCGUAAGAAGGCCGAGCUAGGUCGAGGUAUCUGACCGUAGGGUUCUCGGGCAUCCAUCUUUGCGGUUCUCAGACGAAGCAGUUCUGCUGGCGUCUUCUUGCUGCUGGGUUCUUCGAGCCUCAUCGGCUCACCAUCGGUCUUACCUCGAUCGCCUGCUUUCACAUUUUCUUGAUCCUUAGUCAUUCUGGAUCAUUCAUCUUGCCGAGCCUUUUCUCUCGCUGUUGCGUCCUUCUCGUUUGUGGUGUCCUGUGUCACGGGUGUUGGUGUGUGUUUGGCCCUGCGCUGCUCUGCCCUGCUGCGUAGCCUGGGUGUAGGAGUAAUAGGACAUGUCUUGGGGACUUGAAUUUUGCAGUGUAGGGUGUAGUUGGAGCGUAGAGGGUAUUUCUAGAUGAGCACAAGAUGCCUGGAGCUUUUAAGUUAUCCUGCAGCGCUCUGACUUUUGUGCUAACUCUCUUUAAGCUGCGGAUGGAUUAGAUCCAUGGCAGAGGGCCCCAUUCCAGGUGAGGGGCUCUGCCCCAUGCAGGUCAGUCACCGUUUGUCUUCAGAGGGGCAGCGUAAAUGGUGGCUGUGUUACAGCGCUGUUCUUUGCAUUUGUUUUUAGGAAGCAUGACUGGAUAGCGGCAGCCAAGGUGAAGCAAACAAGGUGAGCGUUGAUUGGUGGACAGAAUCAGUUGCUGUUGCUCAAGUCUCUCUUGAUGGUGUAACUGUAAGUGUCCAUUAUGGUGUGUUUUAGGGGGUCCACUCGCAUCACGCCGAACUCCGCUCAGCGACCGGACGACGGAGCUGCUUCGCCUCUCUCGUGAGCCGUCGGGGAGCACGACAGGACUCCGUGAUGAAGCCUCCAUCUUCUCCGUUUGAAGGUGCCGUCCGGACUGCGCCAGGUAUACCCUGUGACCUUGGCGUGGGGCUCAAGGAUCCGGGCCUUUUCGGGAGAUGGUGAGUAGCAGAAUUGUCAGGUGUUGGCAGUAGUGCUGCCAAGGCCACGUGUUCACGUUUGGUUUCCUUUAUUCUAGCCGCCUGAGAGACGACAGCCCGGUACCAGCGGGAAAUUCCUCAAGGGCGAGGCGGCCUUGUUUUGCACCCGAUGCCGAUUGGCGUUCCCAGACAUCAAAGAGAUAAGUGGAGGGCUGUGAGCCACAGAGGAGUUGAAAGCGGGGUGGCCGGUUGGGUUUUUUGAGUCAGAUUUGCAGUCUGGGAUGGCCAAGAUGUGGCCCCUUGGCCUACUAAAAGGUAAAGUCUCACUUUUGAUAGCAGUGCUGAACUGUGCAGGGCAGAGCAGUCCCAGGCCAUGUGGAGUCACUUGUCUGUUGUGCACUCUGUGUCUUUUGCGUGUCUUGCCUUUCGUGUCGUUGUCCCUACAAGGGGCCUUUUGGAAACCCUGGCUUGUGUCUUAGCAUUUGUAAUCUCUGCGUUCCUCAGCUCGGUGGCUUUGACUCGGGACCUCGCACGCACAUCAGAAUCACAUCUCUCUUCAGAAGCAUCCGGUCCCAGGUCUUUUCAGGUCUUGUUCUGAGCUGUACUGACAGCUGUGCACCGCAAUGAUCCAUUGUGGCGGAGUAGGCAUUGUAAGAAUGCCGAGAUAGGUCGAGGUAUCUGACCGUAGGGUUCUCGGGCAUCCAUCUUUGCGGUUCUCGGACGAAGCAGUUCUGCUGGCAUCUUCUUGCUGCCGGGUUCUUUGAGCCUCAUCGGCUCUACAUCGGUCUUAUCUCGGUCAUCUCCUUCCGCAUUCUCUCGGCCCUCAGGGUCCUUCUUCUUGCCGAGCCUUUUCUCUCGCUGUUGCGUCCUUCUCGUUUGUGGUGUCCUGCAUCACGGGUGUUGGUGUGCGUUUGGCCCUGCGCUGCUCUGCCCUGCUGCAUAACCUGGGUGUAGGGGUAAUAGGACAUGUCCCGGGGACUUGAAGUUUGCAGUGUAGGGUGUAGUGGGAGCGUAGAGGGUAUUUUUAGGUGGGCACAAGAUGCCUGGAGCUUUUAAGUUAUCCUGCAGCGCUCUGACUUUUGUCCUAAAUUUUUUUCAGAUGCGGAUGGAUUUUUCCCUGGCAGAGCACCCCAAGGAGGAAACGG